AAGGCCCUGCGCACACUGCUUCUUAACUCAGGCCCAGGGACAACGGAGGCGGUUCCAGCUCUGGAUGGGUGGUUCCAGAUGGCCUAAGGAAGCAGGCUGAGCAAGGGAUGCGGAGCAAGCAAGUCAGCAGCACCCUU